rnacentral:rRNA from 1 species
GUGGGGAAUAUUGGGCAAUGGGCGCAAGCCUGACCCAGCAACGCCGCGUGAAGGAAGAAGGCUUUCGGGUUGUAAACUUCUUUUACCAGGGACGAAACAAAUGACGGUACCUGGUGAAUAAGCCACGGCUAACUACGUGCCAGCAGCCGCGGUAAUACGUAGGUUGCGAGCGUUAUCCGGAUUUAUUGGGUGUAAAGGGUGUGUAGGCGGGACAGCAAGUCAGAUGUGAAAACCAGAGGCUCAACCUCUGGCCUGCAUUUGAAACUGUUGUUCUUGAGGGUCGGAGAGGUAAUCGGAAUUCCGUGUGUAGCGGUGAAAUGCGUAGAUAUACGGAGGAACACCAGUGGCGAAGGCGGAUUACUGGACGAUAACUGACGCUGAGGCGCGAAAGCGUGGGGAGCAAACAGGAUUAGAUACCCCUGUAGUCC